rnacentral:misc_RNA from 1 species
AAGUCGUAACAAGGUAACCGUAGGUGAACCUGCGGUUGGAUCAUUACAAAUUCAACAGGAUAAAGUUCGCCAUGGAACCGUUCGCGCGGUUCCGUGGUGUUCCUAAUCUGACCACACCUUUGUGAACCACUGACCGUAUCUUAUGGCCACAUUUGCGUUUUCCUACGGGGGUAGUUGACUUCAACAGUGCAUGUUUGACGCGCUGCAUGAAACUCGGACUAUUGGCCUCGCUCUUAAAACGGGCGAGGGCAGAACCUGGUGGCCACUCAAACAAUGAAAACACCCGUUUUUUGACAUUUUGCCUUAAAAAUCAAUCUGAGGCUCGAAAGAGCGCUAGGAUUUAAAAAUGAGAAACAACUUUAGACAACGGAUCUCUUGGCUCUC